rnacentral:rRNA from 1 species
AGCNCUACCAUGUGACCAUACCAAACUGUUGCCUCGGCGGGGUCACGCCCCGGGUGCGUCGCAGCCCCGGAACCAGGCGCCCGCCGGAGGGACCAACCAAACUCUUUCUGUAGUCCCCUCGCGGACGUUAUUUCUUACAGCUCUGAGCAAAAAUUCAAAAUGAAUCAAAACUUUCAACAACGGAUCUCUUGGUUCUGGCAUCGAUGAAGAACGCAGCGAAAUGCGAUAAGUAAUGUGAAUUGCAGAAUUCAGUGAAUCAUCGAAUCUUUGAACGCACAUUGCGCCCGCCAGUAUUCUGGCGGGCAUGCCUGUCCGAGCGUCAUUUCAACCCUCGAACCCCUCCGGGGGUCCGGCGUUGGGGAUCGGGAACCCCUAAGACGGGAUCCCGGCCCCGAAAUACAGUGGCGGUCUCGCCGCAGCCUCUCAUGCGCAGUAGUUUGCACAACUCGCACCGGGAGCGCGGCGCGUCCACGUCCGUAAAACACCCAACUUCUGAAAUGUUGACCUCGGAUCAGGUAGGAAUACCCGCUGAACUUAAGCAUAUCAAUAAG